rnacentral:rRNA from 1 species
GGAAUAUUGCGCAAUGGGGGGAACCCUGACGCAGCAACGCCGCGUGAAGGAGGAAGUAUUUCGGUAUGUAAACUUCUAUCAGCAGGGAAGAAGGAAGUGACGGUACCUGACCAAGAAGCCCCGGCUAACUACGUGCCAGCAGCCGCGGUAAUACGUAGGGGGCAAGCGUUAUCCGGAUUUACUGGGUGUAAAGGGGGCGCAGACGGCAAUGCAAGCCAGGAGUGAAAGCCCGGGGCCCAACCCCGGGACUGCUCUUGGAACUGCAUGGCUGGAGUACAGGAGGGGCAGGCGGAAUUCCUAGUGUAGCGGUGAAAUGCGUAGAUAUUAGGAGGAACACCGGUGGCGAAGGCGGCCUGCUGGACUGUGACUGACGUUGAGGCCCGAAGGCGUGGGGAGCAAACAG